CCAGGCGGCCGGGCGAUCGCGGCGGGCAUCUGCCCGGCGAGGAAAGUCCGGGCUCCACGAAACGACGGUGCCGGAUAACGUCCGGCGGCCUCGCGCAAGCGGGGUUAGGGAAAGUGCAACAGAGAGCAGGUCACGAAGGCUUCGGCCCCGUGAACAGUGAAAGGGUGCGGUAAGAGCGCACCGCGCGCCCGGUAACGGGAGCGGCAUGGUAAACCCCACCGGGAGCAAGACCGAAUAGGGGCGGCGCGCGGUUCGCUGCAGGGCAUGUUUCGGCCCAGUCGCCCGGGUUGGUUGCUUGAGGCCCGCAGCAAUGCGUGCCCUAGAGGAAUGAUCGCCCAUCCGGCCGAGCGUCCGCAAGGAUACGGCGGCAGGUGGACAGAACCCGGCUUACAGGCCGCCUGGCGUU
rnacentral:RNase_P_RNA from 1 species